AGCAGAGAGUGGGGACACCAGCCAGUAUGCUCCAAGCUGCAGGGACAUCUGAUAACUCUCCAAGAUGCAGAGACGUCUGAUCUUUAAGAAAGUUAUGAAGCCGUGUGGCAUUUCUCAUGACAGAAACUAUUUGAUAAUCUGUGGAGAAAAUAAGUAAGCACCAUGCGAUCACUUGGAAGAAGAAAGCAUCCACUGAGGGCGGAGUUUAUUUGGAGAACUGGCUGUCAUGGUUAGAGCGUCUGAGAGAUCCCACGGUAAACUGGGAAGGUGGAUCUGCCGUCAGUCUAAGUUUGAAGACUUCAGGACCAAGAAACCUCUCAGUCUGAGGCUGAAGGCUCAGAAACCCAAAUGGUUGUGAGUGCAGGUCUCAGAGUCCAAAGUCUGGAGACCCUGCAGGGUUGAUGCCCCAGACCAAAAGGAUACUCUGGUUUCUUGAGAAAUAAAUAAUAGUAAGUG
rnacentral:lncRNA from 1 species